UGACGUGCUCUGAGCUGUCACUGCUCAGGAGUUGUCUCACCUGGAGGGAAGGCUGGCCCCGGGGAGGUGCUCCCCACCACAUGCCAUGGAGGCGGGAGAGGAGGGGGCAGUGCAGUGGUGGUGAGCCUGGGGGAGGCCAAACGCAAGCAGCAAGGAGACAAGAGGAGCCCAGGGCCAGCCCCAGGCCCAGGAAGCAGGACAGUCAACAUGGCAGGACGACAAUGCAGACAGGGUGGGGGAGAGUGGGGGGCUGUGUCCAGGGAGAGUGGGGGGCUGUGUCCAGUGGAGACAGAGCAUCCCCUAGAGAUGGAAGCUCAACCCCCAUCCCAGGUGUGCCCCUCAGGAGCACCAUCUGAACCCAGCGGAGGAAGCAAGAAUGGGGUGUCCACUUAUCCACCAGAGCUCUCCACUGUGAGACGGGACCCCAGGCACCAAGAUAUGUUCUGACCUCUUUUCUGGAUCUUUUAGCAUUGAAGAGCAGUGUGUUCGUCUUUAUUUACAGGGUAUUAGAAACCAGUCUGCUCUAAGACCAAAAGAGGGGUGGGGUCUGGAAACACCCUGUCCCACUGCAGUCCCCAGCCCUGGCUCUCCAGCAGUGUCCCAGUGGUCAUGUAGGAGCAAUAUGCAGAAGGAAAGUGGAAGUCCAAGGUUCAUUAAACCCCGGGCUGUGCCUCUGAACCAAGAUCAUUUACAAAACCCUCCUCCAUUGACCCAAAUCUUGGGUCUUUCCACUCUGAUGAGCCAAAAUGGGAAGCAAGGAGCAGGUGGGUGAAGGAAGGUGGGUGGAGACGUAAACAGAAAGCAGAGAGAGAGAGAGAGAGGAAUAUGUUUACCCUGUGCCCACGCUGAAUGUGGGAAGUGACCCGGGUAAGAAAGCAAGCCAUCCCCCAGAGGUAGAGAAGGGCGAUCCUGCCAGCCCUGGCCAGCUUGACCCACCGUGGUAGUAUAUGGAGGUGUUAGCAAGGGGACAGUCGACCUCUUCCUGCGUAGGGACAGCCGGAGACGAGAACAGAACACAUCCAGUUCAACCCACAGGUCUGCGGGUCAGCAAGCUCAGGCAACGUUCCCAAGUCCAAGCCCCAGAUUCAGCUUGCGGGCUCCCAGUGGGAGUGUCUGCAAAACAUUCAGGUUCCUGAGUGAUUAAGUAACACCCAGAGAGCCUGGGCUGGGAGGUCCCCCGACUUCAACAGCAUCUCCAGCAAGAUGAACAGUGCAACCCUGAAUCGCCUGAGUGAGUUGUGGAGCUCUGUGUGGGAGGGGGCUGAUUCUCAGAGUA
rnacentral:lncRNA from 1 species